CCAAACCCUUUUCUAACCUUAACCCCUAACCCUUUGAGAGUUAGAAAAGUCGGGAAAAAAAGUUUAAAAAAUUUUAAAAAAAAACAAUGCUAAGUUAGACAAAACACAUCCCAACCCCGACUGCGUUUAACCUUCCGCACGCAGCGCCCUUGCCGUAUGAGCUAAUGGCAAGUUCGGUAAAAGUUAACACAAACAAAAGUUUUUAUAUUCAACUUAGUCACUAGACUGCCGGCCAUUUAGUAUUUGAUUUGAUAAACCGUGACCGGCUGCCGGUCAUAUAGUCACUUUGUUACAAAUACUCAAAUGACAAAUUCUUCCUUGAAAAUUCAAACAGAGUGCUUUACAAUUUUGCAUGUACAUAUAUUAAAGGGGAAGUCAAGUCCGUAAUGUAAACAAACGGUUUGUUUACAUUUUGAACUGCUGUAUUUUUAAAAAAUGAUGUACUGUCUGAAUAUCUAACACCAUUUUGGUUUGCUAUGCUUCUAAAUGAAUAUGAAAUAAAGUUUAUGUUCAGAAAAAUUCGAAAAAAUUCGAAAUUUGGGCAAUUUUCACAUUAGAGGUCCUCACAUUGUUAUGCGCAGAACCGAUGCGCAGAAUGGACUUGACUUCCCCUUUAAUGAGUUGUGAACAGGCAGGCCAUCAUUCAAAGAACGAAAGCAGUCACUUUCAAUCAGUUUUAUAUUAAUAUUAUAGAUGACGGGUUUGAAUGCUCAGUGCUCACUCCUGAGUCAGAUACAUGUGCACAUUUUAUAUAAUAAUAAUUCAAAUAACAGUUAUUAAAUACGACAUUACACUUACCAUGUCAUCUGUCUUUAUAUUUGGCAAUGUUUUGGCUCGUAACAUAGACAAAAAUUCAGUAAAAUUCUGUUAUUUGUCUUCGCAAAUUUUGGGAAACUUUUAAAACCAAGAUGGCGGCGCAUUAUUUUUUCGCGAAGGCCUGGCCGCUAAGCUUUGAUCGCUUUUCGGUAAAAAUACGCGACUUUUUAAAAAAUCUCCUCUUAAACAUUAAGUUAACCCUAUUCCGAAUACGUUUUUAAACUAUUCAAAUGAUGAAAGUUAUUGUUGUUUUUAAGCGUUUAUUAGCAAGUGGGAACGACCAACAUGGCCGCCAUCUAUUCAAAUGAGGGUAACCGCUGGAAUAUUCUUGGCUUCAAUUUUGCUAAAAGAGAUGCGCUAUCUAGUGCAUAUAAGAUAUCUAUG